UACGAAGGUCCCGAGCGUUAUCCGGAUUUAUUGGGUUAAAAGGUGCGUAGGCGGGUUAUUAAGUCAGUGGUGAAAGCCUACAGCUUAACUGUAGAAUUGCCAUUGAUACUGAUGAUCUUGAGUAUGAUUGAGGUGGGCGGAAUGUGUCAUGUAGCGGUGAAAUGCUUAGAUAUGACACAGAACACCGAUUGCGAAGGCAGCUCACUAAGUCA
rnacentral:rRNA from 1 species